rnacentral:rRNA from 1 species
UUACACAUGCAAGUCGAACGAAAAGCUAGACUUCGGUUUAGUGGAAAGUGGCAGACGGGUGAGUAACGCGUGGGAAUCUACCUUUGAGUGGGGAAUAACAACUAGAAAUGGUUGCUAAUACCGCAUAUACCCUAAGGGGGAAAGGCUUCGGCCGCUCUUAGAUGAGCCCGCGUACGAUUAGUUUGUUGGUAAGGUAAAGGCUUACCAAGACUACGAUCGUUAGCUGGUUUGAGAGGAUGAUCAGCCACACUGGGACUGAGACACGGCCCAGACUCCUACGGGAGGCAGCAGUGGGGAAUAUUGGACAAUGGGCGAAAGCCUGAUCCAGCCAUGCCGCGUGAGUGAAGAAGGCCUUAGGGUUGUAAAACUCUUUCGGCAGGGAAGAUAAUGACGGUACCUGCAGAAGAAGCUCCGGCUAACUCCGUGCCAGCAGCCGCGGUAAUACGGAGGGGGCAAGCGUUGCUCGGAAUUACUGGGCGUAAAGCGAGCGUAGGCGGUUAAUCAAGUUGGUGGUGAAAGCCCAGAGCUUAACUCUGGAACUGCCCAUCAAACUGGUUAACUA